CCGAAGGGUGUGGCGUGGGAAAGCUGUUUUCCCGGCUACAGCUGGGAGCAGAAGGCAGAAGAGCCAAAGAUGAAGCGGGCAGGAAUCAGACAUAGUCCCCAAGGUGAGGGCUUCAGGACCCACCAGACUGCUUCACCCAUCUCUUCUGACUCCUCCAAGCCAGUCAAGAUUCUGCCCGGAUGCCUGUCCUCCCUCUCUGUUCCUGAGCCCAUCAACAAAAGGCCUUUCAUCACUCAGCUCAGAGGUGCUCACUCCUGGGGUCCACUCUGUGCCUGACACCCCCAGCUCCUCAGGGCUCUGCAGAGUGACGUCUGGGGGCUCGGGGCACACUUACCUCCCUCUGCUCUGCUCCUACCCCACCAUCCAGCACACGGUCCUGCCUCGCCCUGCAGAUGUCCCACCUCCUGCCUGUGUCGCCACACCAGGACCUCAGCAGUGGACAGCCUGUCUGCCUGUCCCCUGGGCUGUCCCAGCCACACCCAAGGGUCGGCACAGAGGAGGAACAGAACUUUGCCAUUCUCGGGGCCUGGGAAUUACACAAGUGCUGCCUUCUUACUCAACUUAAACACACGGAGGGUGUUUAUCCAGGAUGUGUGGAUGAUUUUUGUUUCUUGGUGGUUUUGAGGGGAAGGGUGGAUAUUUUCUUUGUUCUUAAGUAUGCAAAAAUUAUUUCUCCAUCCCUGGUAUUUCAGUUGGAAAAUACAUUUGAAAGGAAUGACUUGUGGGCUCGGGGUGCAGGUCAUGGGCAAAGCUGUGGGUUCCAUCCCAGUGUUGAAACAAGAAGGAAGAG